UGAGCGCCACCCAUGUCUGCAUUUGGGAACAGAUUAAUACAAGAUCUCAGCCCAUCAGAGACUCCAGGGAUCUGUAUGAACUAAGGAGGAUUACCAGUUACAACCGCUGCUCUUACUCCGAGCUGUUCUGUUCCUCGUGCUACGAGAACACUCCGUGCUGACUGUGACAGGUGCGGCCCCAGUGCAGUCAUCUGGCAAAACGUGGGGGCACCUUGCGGACUCUGCCCAAUUCCUUUGUAGAAGUUUUUGUUCCCCGCUGGACCCUAAGCAGGCAGGGCCUGGGAACAAAGCCUGUGCCUGGUCGAGAUUCACAGCGCAUCCCUUGCAGGCUGCUCUUCCCACCAAGGCACAAAGUAUCUGGUUCCGGCUGUGUCCUAGGCGCACGCGUGACAAACACCGAGGGCUUGUGAGCCGUGCAGAGGUCUGGGGCCCUGAGCUCAGAAAAGCUCCACAGAGUCACCUUGGGACUUGUGCUCGAUGAAGAAACGCAAUGAAUGCGAACCUGGUAGCAUGCAAGAAAACUGGCUGGGGGAGCAAUGAGAAUGCCCAGGUCAGCUGGUACUGCUGGUUCAUCAGAAGAAGGAAAUUCCUUCCUGCAGCUUGCCAAGUUCAUCUCCCAGCAUCCCCCAUGCAAAAUCCACUUGAUGACAACAGUAGCAUUUCAAAUUAUCUCAUCUAAGACGGGACAGUAAUCGCUGCAAAAACACCAAUGAUUCCUGCAAAUGUAUCAUCCACGGAGACCUCCCAAAUGACCUCCUAGAGUGCUGAUCUUGUCAAUAUCUCUCCACUUGGGUGUCCUAUCCCUUGGAGGCAGAACCUGUGGAUUAGUUCUAAUCAGAAUAUGGAUCAG